UAAGGCAGGUUUGACUGUAGUUAUAAUUUAAACUGACUUUUACAUAUUCAGACACAAAGAGUUUGUGUCUCUGUCACAUACAUAUUCAAAAUACUUAAUUAUUCAAAAUACUUAAUUGGAGAGUUAUACAUAUAUUCUACACAUUUUGAUAAAAUUUAUGCUCAAAUUAUAACUCAACAGCCCAGGCAAUUGUUAAAAAUCAAUUUUGGAACAGUACUUUCUGAAUUAUUUCUAAAAGUGACAUGUUCGUUAUUCAGACACAAAGUGUUAAGUGUCUUUGUCACAUAAAAUGUCGAACUUCUUAUUUGUUGAAAUGAAGAAGUUAUUUUUAGGACAUGUACAUGUAGCGAAUGAUUUAUCGUACAGAUCAUAUUUAACUAUUCGGUUAAGCUGUAGGUACAUCUCACCUAGUGAUUCACACAAACUUGGCUUUGAUGGAAUAUGUUCUUGUCCAGUAUACAUGUAUUGCAAACAUAUAGUCGCAACAAUAUUUUUGACAUUUUUCUAAAAAGAAAUUUAAGAGUCUCGCAAUGAAUAAUUUAAUUUCUUUUGGUGGGUUAUUUUCCUCUACAUUCUUAAAUUCUAUGGAUAUAUGGAUCCACUUUGGUAAAUGUUACAAUUUUUAAAAAUUCAAAGAACCCUCUCAAAAUUUUCAUAAUAUAGGAUGCAGGAAAUGCUUGAUCACCAAUGAGAUAAUUAUAAUUUAUUUCAAAUAUCAAAUAAAAAUAUAUAUCACCAACUGAGGACUAUUCUCAUGACUAAGACAGUAAAGGAACUGGUAGCAUUGGUAUCUCAUCUUAUAUUAAUUAUUUGAUAAUUAUCUUUUCAGGAAUAACAAAGUGAAACUGGUAUUUUUUUUUCAGCUGGUUGACACUGCAGGUAAACUAAGUACUGCAGAGCGAAAAAGAAAAGAUGCGAAAGAUCGGCGAUAGCGUCUCAAAGAAAAUACGGAAAAGUAUAAAGAGCAUAGACUUGAGGAAACCAUACGGUUACAAGAAUACAGAAACAACCUCAGCGAUGAACAAAAACAAAUCCAAAAAGAGCAGGCUAGGACAACAAAGACAUAGGAAUAAAAAGAAAGGAAAUACAACAUCCAAAGCACCAGUAAACAAAACACAAGCCAGUAAGGAAGUGCAAAAAUGGAGAGAAGAAAAACGUUUGCAGAGGAUGAAUGUCUCAUCAGAAAAAGAGAAGAAUUAAUGAACGUCCCAGAAAAAUAUAUCAUGAAAAGAAACAACCUAAAUCUUCAGAAAAGGAGGAAGAAAUAGAUCCAGUGGAUAAUGAAUCAAUAAUGACUACAAGAGUGCUACCGAAAAAACCAAAAAAGUACGCCGAAGUGCUAACUCAACUUUACAGAAGAAAAAAAACAGGCCUUUGGUUUAGAUGUCACAGAGAAGAAAAAGAAUACAACAACAUUGAUUGUAAAAGAGAAGCUUAUGGAACUGUGUAACCGCCGGAAAGAAAAGGACAACCGAAUUAGAAGAAUAAUUCAUGCCUCUCUUGCUGCAAAAGGCCACACAAAAGGAAUUUGGACUAAGUAGGAAACUCUCCAAGCUAUCUGUAGAUCAGCUUGAAAAUGAGGGAAGAAAAACAUGAAGUGACUGUCUGCCGGAUGAUGAUGCGGUGAUGUCUGCCGGAUGAUGAUGCGGUGAUGUCUGCCGGAUGAUGAUGCGGUGAUGUCUGCCGGAUGAUGAUGCGGUGAUGUCUGCCGGAUGAUGAUGCGGUGAAACAGUGGCCCCUCGAGCUGUUGAUGUCCCUGUAAAUGACGCCCCUGUGGAUGGUGGUCAUGUAAAUGACGCCCCUGUGGAUGGUGCUCCUGUAAAUGACGCCCCUGUGGAUGGUGCCCCUGUGAAUGACGCCCCUGUGGAUGGCGGUCCUGUAAAUGACGCACCUGUGGAUGGCGGUCCUGUAAAUGACGCCCCUGUGGAUGGUGCUCCUGUAAAUGACGCCCCUGUGGAUGGUGUCCCAUAAAUGACACCCCUGUGGAUGGUGCUCCUGUAAAUGAUGCACCUGUGGAUUAUAGCUCCUGUAAAUGACUCCCCUGUGGAUGUGGUCCCAUAAAUGACGCCCCUGUGGAUGGUGCUCCUGUAAAUGACGCCCCUGUGGAUGGUGUCCCAUAAAUGACGCCCCUGUGGAUGGCGGUCCUGUAAAUGAUGCCCCUGUGGAUGGUGUCCCAUAAAUGACACCCUUGUGGAUGGUGCCCCUGUGGAUGGCGGUCCUGUAAAUGACGCCCCUGUGGAUGGUGCGCCUGUAAAUGACGCCCCUGUGGAUGGUGUCCCAUAAAUGACGCCCCUGUGGAUGGUGUCCCAUAAAUGACGCCCCUGUGGAUGGUGCUCCUGUGAAUGACGCCCCUGUGAAUGGUGCUGUUUUAGCUGUGAACACACAAAUUGGAGAUGAUUCACAUGAUGAUGCCCAUGAUCUGAGUGGACUUAGUAUAGACACAGAUGUCAUAAUGGAGGAGUUGAAUAAAUCAACCUCAGACUUCAAUAUCAGCUUGGAUCAAGGAGCUGCGUAAUGGAGCGGCCUUGCUUCAGUUCAUGCAGUCACAUCGGGAGUUUUAUUUCUGGCCAUCUGUUAAAGACUUCUCCUGGGAGCCACUUAAGAAUGUGGUGUCCAUAAUUUCUCCGCCUGUUUUUGUUGCUGAGAAAUCAACUACAAGGAGGCAGCUAUUUAAGCUAUGAGCUUUUGAAUAAAUUGAAGUUGAAACAUUUAUAAGUUGUUGUCUUUAACAUAAUCAGUUAGAAUAAUAUAAUUAUAUGGCCAUUUAUCAAUUUAUCUUACACCGUCAAUUUGAUAUUGGUGUCCAUGUUACGAACAAAUAAAGGGAAAUAAGACACUAUUUCUUGGCCUAGAUGCAUAAAUUGUUGUCAACUGAUGCAAUACAUAAAUAUUUAAGACAAAGACAUGUUUUCAAUCAAGUAUGCAUCUGCUUAAGUUAUUUUUCUACUUAUGGAAGUAAACAAUUUGGUUGUUGGAUUUGUUCGUGACGGUGUCCAGAUCUUCAACCUUACUUGUUUUUUUUUCAGUAUUAUUUUUCAGUUUGUAUUUUUUAUGUUUUAUGGUAUGCUCUUAUAUUGUCAUAAAUGUAAGGAAAACAAUUUAAUUUAUUCAGAAUAUAAAGUAACAUUUUCAAAUUGGACACCAAGUUAUGAACAUAAUAAUAGUCAACUUUUCAGGUCAUUUUUUUUGAAAACCAGUUUUUACAACUAUCUAUUUCCCUAUAUUUUCUCACAGCAUGGUAUGAUGGGUACAAAAUAAUGACAAUUAUAGACUAAUUGAACAAGUUUAAUUUUUCAUUCUCAUGUCACAUUUUGGCCGAGUACUGAAAUCUUACUUAUAUAUUCUAUCGUUUUUGAUAGCUUUAUUGUAUUUUACUUGUUAACAAUCGCGCAGAAAACAAAAGUAAAUUUGAGGCCGCCAUUUUGUUACCCAUGUAAACAACCCGGCAUAAACCGCUGAAUUCUCUGAAAUAGACCAUCCUAAUAAAUGAAUAUGCUUCUGGUACGUUAAAUAAUUCAUCAAUACAAUAUUUACAACGCUUAUUUCUUAAAAACGUGUCUUCGGUGUCAGUUCCUACAUAAGACUAUGCUGAACCAGCGAGUAAUAUCAACGUGUUUCACGAUGUUUAACAACGAUUUGAGUCGUCGCAAAAGAACGAAAUAAUAUUAUGUGCAUAUUGCAGUCGGAUAUGUAGACAUAAACUGGAAUGGCUAUUUGCAUUAAAAUAUAUUAGUUUUUUCGCUCGUAGCGAAUUGACUUGGUCGUCAUGAUUUGGGUCAGCAGGUUUGGUGUUUAUAGUGAAGAAUUAAACGAUCAGUUAUGUCAAGUUUUGAACAAAACCAGUUUGUGAAAACAAAGGAAAAUAUAUCUUACUUAUAUUACAGUAUCAUAAUUAAUGUUUGGAUUAUCAGAAUCACAAAUAUUUCGUUUCAAAAUUGUGAUAAUUUGCCAAUAUUAGCUUGGCGGCUAUCUUUUGGGAUCCCUAAUAGGGUACGUACCUGCAGCUUUCGCCCGAUGCUUAAAUCUUUGAUUUUAACAACAUUCAGUCAAAAAUUAAAGUAGACAGUUGAGUUAUGAGACAAUCCUAUGAAUGCCACUUGAGUUAAAUUCAGUCUGUUGUCCAAAAUAAAAUUAUGGUGCAGUACACUAGUAAGCGGUCAUAAAAAUGAUGGCCCAUGGUUUAGUAAAAUGACCCAUAAUUUCUGGUCUGAUGGGCCCAAUGACCAUAUAAAUGCAAAAUCACCUGAAGCUCUGAGAUCUAACAUUGUAUAAAUGGAGGGUGUAGGUCCCUUGGAGCUGGAGAGAGGGUGGCCUUAUAGGGGAAAUGUUUCAAAAAAUAAAAAUCCCCCCCCCCAAAAAAUUAAAUUCUGUCAAAAAGAAUUGCUGGUUUUGUCCAUAUUUCGUUUAAACCAUAGAUUAAUGUAACUUAUGAAUAGUUUUGCCAUGAUUACUGAAAUAUCCAGGUAAGCGAUGUAGGCCCUCUGGGCCUCUUGUUGUAAUUUGGCAUCAUAUAUUUGUGUAUAUGUAGAAUUUGUGUAUAUGUAGAAUGAAAACAAUUUGACCUGAUCCUUGGCAUUUUGCUAAUUUGGAGUAAAUUAAAGUCUUUGAUAUGCUUUAUGAUAAUAAUAACAAUAUACUUUUUGUACUGAAGAUAAACCUGAUUUAGCCUUUUAUAGUCCUCUAAAUCGUAAAUUUGUUGUAGGCAAUUGGAAUGCAGAAGUUUUGAGAUAGGGUCAAUUUCAAUAAUUAAAAAAAAAAACAGGAAAUAAGUGUUUAUACUUAAAAUAAAUGUUUAUUGUGAAAUCUUGUUAUUUUGUUGAUGA